rnacentral:rRNA from 1 species
GUUCUCCCCGAAAUGCAUUUAGGUGCAGCGUCGUGUGUUUCCUCCUGGAGGUAGAGCUACUGGUUGGUUUAGCGGGACUAUCAUCUUAGCGACAUCAGCCAAACUCCGAAUGCCGGUGAGGUCAGAGCACGGCAGUGAGACUGCGGGGGAUAAGCUUCGUAGUCGAGAGGGAAACAGCCCAGAUCGCCGGCUAAGGCCCCUAAGGGUGUGCUAAGUGGAAAAGGAUGUGGGAUCGCGAAGACAACCAGGAGGUUGGCUUAGAAGCAGCCAUCCUUGAAAGAGUGCGUAAUAGCUCACUGGUCGAGUGGUUCUGCGCCGACAAUGUAGUGGGGCUCAAGUACACCGCCGAAGCCGCGGCAAUCACCUUUUUGG